AUUGAACGCUGGCGGCAGGCCUAACACAUGCAAGUCGAACGGUAACAGGGAUCAGCUUGCUGAUUCGCUGACGAGUGGCGGACGGGUGAGUAAUGUCUGGGAAACUGCCUGAUGGAGGGGGAUAACUACUGGAAACGGUAGCUAUUACCGCAUAACGUCGCAAGCCCAAAGAGGGGGACCUUCGGGCCUCUUGCCAUCGGCUGUGCCCAGAUGGGAUUAGCUAGUAGGUGGGGUAACGGCUCACCUAGGCGACGAUCCAUAGCUGGUCUGAGAGGAUGACCAGCCACACUGGAACUGAGACACGGUCCAGACUCCUACGGGAGGCAGCAGUGGGGAAUAUUGCACAAUGGGCGCAAGCCUGAUGCAGCCAUGCCGCGUGUAUGAAGAAGGCCUUCGGGUUGUAAAGUACUUUCAGCGGGGAGGAAGGGAGUAAAGUUAAUACCUUUGCUCAUUGACGUUACCCGCAGAAGAAGCACCGGCUAACUACGUG
rnacentral:rRNA from 1 species